rnacentral:tRNA from 1 species
CGGGAUGUAGCUCAGCCUGGUAGAGUGCCUGCUUCGGGAGUAGGAGGUCGCAGGUUCAAAUCCUGUCAUCCCGA